GUUGGACUUUGAAAAGUUCAUCUCAUUCAAAACAAAACACCUUUCUCCUAAACCUACAUCUCAUUUUUCUCAUACCUCUCACCUCUUUCUCUCCCUCUCCGCCUCCUCUCAUAUCAUUUUAUUCUUCUUCUCAAGCUCUACCCUUCUCUCUUCUUCCAUCACUCUCCGUCCACAAAAACCCACAAUUUCUUCUUCUAGUCGAUCUUUUCUUGAGAUUCAUCAACACUGUGAAGAAUACAAAAAAGUAUUUCUCUGUUGGAUCAAGGUUUUUUUGUGAGAUUCAUCAAAAUUGUGAAGAAUACCAAAAAGGUAACAACUUUUCUUCUUCUCUCAGAUCUUUUCUUCUUCUACCAUAUGUAACAACUUUUCUUUGUAGUAUUUUUCUUCUGGAUGAAGGUUUUAAUGUGAGAUUCAUGAACACGGUCAAGAAAACCAAAAAGGUAUAAGCUUUUCUUCUUCUCUCUGAUCUUUUCUUUUAGAUGAAUGAAAUGUUGGAGAAGAUUGGCCAAAAUCAAGACUCUCAAGCACAAAACUUUGAACAAGAUUUCGUCUUUUUCGAUCCAGAAUUAAAAUGGUAUGUAAAGUUUCGAUUUUUACUCAACUUUUGGUUGUUUUCCUCUUUCUCAGUGAACAAAUUCAUCUUAUUUUAUUUUUGCUUUUAUCGGAAUAAAGUUUGCUUUGAUCUUAACUUUUUUUUGUUGAGAUGAAUGAAAUGCUAGAGAAGAUCGACCAGAGGCAAGGCUCUCAAGUACAAAACUUUGAACAAGAUUUCGUCUUUUUUUACAGAAUUAAAAUGAUGAAUGAAAUGUUGAAGAAGAUCGGCCAGAGGCAAGGCUCUCAAGCACAAAACUUUGAACAAGAUUUCGUCUUUUUUGGUCCAGAAUGAACAAUGGUUUGAUUUUUUAUUCACAAGACUGAAGGUAUUUUGUGAGCACUUUUCUACACAUUACUCUGUCUUUUUGGUUCUAGAAUGACAAUUUUUGAGCAUGAGGACGAAACAGGUCUAGAAGUUAUUGGAAGAUAGAGAAUGAGAAAAAGACACUUGAAGAUAGAGAAUGAGAGAAGGAGACGAGAAGACAAAGAAUGAGAAAAGGAAACGAAGAUGUAGUCAACAACAAAAAAUCAAUAAUUUUUGUACCAUGAAAAUGUUGGUAGCUUUAGAUUCAAAAGUUGAAGUGUGAAUCUUCAUAUCUUCUCUCUAUAAGGACGACGACAACACCUAAAUUUGAUUAAGGUUAU